GCACUGAUGAAGAGUCCCAAACUAGGACGAAACGGCUGUCCAGCAC
rnacentral:hammerhead_ribozyme from 1 species